CAGUGACAGAACCAGUAGGUUAUUAAAACUAUGUCAAAAGAUAAUUCAAUGAACAGAGAUUUAUUUCAUCAAAGAAUUCACAAAAGCUUGUUAAUAAAAAUUAGUAAAAAUUUUAAAUGUCUGAUAACCCUUUAAACUGAAAUCCUAAAAUCUCUGAGCUUAUCUUUUCGACUUGACAAAAACCUGUGAGUUAACAUUUAAUUUCACAGUUUCAGGGCCCUAAUAAAAUAGUAAAUAGGAAAGUAAAAUACAGGUGCAUCCUCCUAGAUAAUUCAAUAAUUCUUCAGUGAGCCUGUUAAACAAUGACAUUGAAAGGACAUGCAGUUAUACUCCUGCUUUACUUUCAACUUAUGAAUAUUUUUUCUUAAGAAAAGUAAUGGUAAAAAGAAUUUGACACACAUAAAAAGGCUUAAACAAGGUCGCUCAAAGACACAAAGUAUAAUUCAUUGCAACUUUUACAACCUGAUGCCACUCUUGCCAGGUUGGGCGGAAGAAACUGUAGUAUACCUAGUGUCAGCUUUUUAUUUUAAAAAUUAGCUAGUAGUAUUAUUAAGUAGUAAGUAUUAAAAAUAUAAGCAAGAACAAAUUUGACCCAAUAGUGUAUACUUUAAACCUAUUCACAAUCAAGCAGGUAGAACAAGAUGGCUGAACGGAAGCCUCUAACAAUCAUCCUCCCCACAGGAAUACCAAAUUUGACAACUAUCUACACAAAAAUCACCUUCAUAAGAACCAAAAAUCACGUGAGCAAUCACAGUUCCUGGUUUUAAUGUUAUAUCACUGAAAGAAACACUGAAGAGAUAAGGAAAGACAGUCUUGAAUCAGUGAUACCACCCCUCCCCAAUCCACUGGCAGUACACCUGUCGUGUGGAGAGAGAAUCUGCGUGCUUAGGGGAGGGAAAGUGCAGUGACUAUGAAACUCCACAUUGAUCUCAGUGCUGCCCUGACACAGUGGAAAGCAAAACUGGGCUGAACUCAGCUGAUGCUCACUUAUGGAGGGUGUAUUUAGACCAGUUCCAGAAAAAGGGAAAUCACCCUUCCCAGUAGUUGGAACAUGAGUUUCUGAAAGCCUCGCCACCAUGACCUAAAGUGCUCCAGGGUCCUAAAUAAACCGGAAAGACAUUCUAGGCCAGAAGAACUGCAACUCCUAGACCAGUCUUAGAGCUAAGUCCCAGGCCUGGAAACAUUCAUCACAAGCUGAGUGAAAAGCAUUUGGGCCUUCAGGGAACAUUGGUGAUAGUCCGGCAGUACUUCCCAUAGAGCUGUGGUGGUCACGGCCACAGGGAGAGGCUGCUGUGCCACUCCGAUGUUUCUAUCUUCGGUUUUGAUCUGGACCCAGGAGAGAACCCAAUAUGAAACAACUCUGUUGUCUGCAGUCUUUACUCUGGCUUUUGGUCUCAGUCAAGAAGGAAUUCAGGACACAGAACACAUGAGGGGUGGGUUUUGGAGUGGAAAGUUUAAUAGAAAAAGAAGAAAAGAGAGAGAAAAAGCUUCCUCAUGUUGAGAAAGCCCAAAAGAGGGCCUCCAAGCAGAAAAAAAGGACCAGCUGACAUAAAUGCGCCAAGUUUUAUAGUCCAAUUU
rnacentral:lncRNA from 10 species